UUUCCUACAUUCUGUUUUAGUUCUUCAUUGACAAGGCCGAACUUGUCCUAGUCAUCAAGUUGUCGUGUUCCGCAGAGUCCCAGCCACCUGUCUAAUAAUGCGCCUCCGUAUCCGGUACCGCCUAACCGUUUCCGGGGCUGGAUGUUACCCCCUGCGGCGUCCUCACACGCGACCCCCGCGCAAAAGGGGGCACGAGACCCCAAAAACCCUCCACGCUCCAAUGCACCGCCUUCCCCAGUUUUCCUGGGGAACGGACCCUCCCGCGGCGGGUGCGUGUCUUCGGCAUCCGGACGAUCGAUUUGUUAUUACGGCUCGUCAUUGUGUCAGUGUGAGGGAACAGUGAGAACUCCAGCACUCGCGAUCGUCGCUAUUUUCCACGAACCACAUUCUAGCCGUGGGAACUGGAAACGCCGUUUUCCCGAUUCUUUCCGGAGAAGCGUCACAGAUGGAACUCAUGGAACUAUAACUCACCCAGGUUCGACGUACCCUCACCUCAUAAUUUCGGAGCUGCUAAUUAUCGAUGUGUAAUAGAUGAGGCCCGAAAUCAUCCGGAAAUGUUCGCUCGACAGGGCCAAAUGUCGCCGAAGUGGUUAACCCGGGACGCAACCCUUUGCAACGACGUUGCGGCUGCACGUGACUCGCACGUGCGACCAAUUUCUUUUCUAUUACGACAAGCUUAUCCGUGAUUCGACGAUGUGCUUUUCGCCGUUGUAACAGAUUCUCGAGAGAGAUAUAACAACUCGAGCGCAAAAGCGAAUUAGCAAUUGAUAAGAGAGGAGGGGAAG